rnacentral:rRNA from 1 species
ACGUAGGAGGCUAGCGUUAUCCGGAUUUAUUGGGCGUAAAGCGCGUGCAGGCGGUCUGGUAAGUUGGAUGUGAAAGCUCCUGGCUUAACUGGGAGAGGUCGUUCAAUACUGUCAGACUAGAGAAUGGGAGAGGGAGGUGGAAUUCCGGGUGUAGUGGUGAAAUGCGUAGAUAUCCGGAGGAACACCAGUGGCGAAAGCGGCCUCCUGGACCACUUCUGACGCUAAGACGCGAAAGCUAGGGUAGCAAACGG